GCAGAGUAGAUGAAAGUGCGUCAAGUGCCCGGGGGACGGAGAGUUGCCGCCGGGACGAAAAGACAUUUGUUUCAGGUCUUGCGGUUCUUUCGUCGCAUCCCGCUGC
rnacentral:ncRNA from 1 species